AGAUUCUCUCUCUCACCUUUAGGGUUUUUCUGAUUUUCCCAACACGCUACACUUUCAGAAUUUAGACACGAGGUUUUGGACUGUCCCUAGGUCCGUUACUUUCUGCUAAGAAAAUGCCGGUGAAGGACGAGAGCUCUGACAAGGAGAAGUACUUGGACUUGUUUCUGAAGAUCGGAUUGGACGAACGAACCGCGCGAAACACCGUCGCCAACAGCAAGGUUACGGCCAAUCUGGUUUCUGUUAUUCACGAGGCUGCUGUCACCGAGGGAUGCAGUCGGACGGUCGGAAAUCUCCUAUACACGGUUGCUACAAAAUAUCCAGCAAAUGCUCUUGUGCAUCGCCCAUCCUUGCUGCAAUACAUUGUUUCGUCAAAGAUUAAAACUACAGCUCAGUUAGAAGCGGGUCUUUCAUUUUUUGCAGCUACUGCAUCAGAUGAUUUUAAGUUGGAUGCAUUUGAAGAAGCAUGUGGGGUUGGUGUUGAGGUUUCAGCAGAAGAAAUUGAACAAGCUGUUAAUGAGGUUUUUGAAGAGAAUAAGAAUUUGAUUUUGGAGAAACGAUAUCGAACUAAUGUGGGUGAAUUAUUAGGUCACGUUCGGAAGAGGCACCCAUGGGCUGAUCCAAAGAGCGUCAAGCAAUUUGUUGAUGCAAAAUUAUAUGAUCUACUUGGUGAAAGGACAGCAGCCGAUAAUGAAAAGACUUCCAAGAAGAAGAAAGAUAAGCCCACUGAAGUAGAGGUUAAAAUGGUUGCCGUUGUUACUCCAGAACAGCAAUCUGAAGAAGAACUUAAUCCAUUUUUGAUAUUUCCUCGACCAGAGGAAAAUUUCAAGGUGCACACUGAAGUAUUUUUCAGUGAUGGCUCUGUCCUUAGGUGUUGCAAUACAAAGGAACUGCUUGAAAAACACUUGUACGCAACGGGAGGGAAAGUUUUAACUCGCUUUCCUCCUGAACCAAAUGGGUAUUUGCAUAUUGGUCAUGCCAAGGCAAUGUUUAUUGACUUUGGCCUCACAAAAGAUAGAGCUGGAGGAUGCUACCUUAGGUAUGAUGACACAAAUCCCCAAGCUGAGAAGAAAGAGUAUAUUAAUCAUAUAGAAGAAAUUGUCCAUUGGAUGGGUUGGGAGCCCUUGAAGAUAACUUACACCAGUGAUUAUUUCCAAGAUUUGUACGAUUUAGCCGUAGAGCUCAUACGAAGGGGUCAUGCAUAUGUUGAUCAUCAGACACCUGACGAGAUCAAGGAGUACAGGGAAAAAAAGAUGAACAGUCCUUGGAGGGACAGACCUGUUGCAGAAUCAUUGAAACUUUUUGAUGAUAUGAGAAAAGGCCUUAUUGAAGAAGGGAAAGCGACAUUGAGGAUGAAGCAAGACAUGCAGAGUGAUAAUUAUAAUAUGUAUGAUCUUAUUGCUUAUCGUAUCAAGUUUACUCCUCAUCCACAUGCUGGAGACAAGUGGUGUAUCUAUCCCAGUUAUGAUUAUGCUCACUGCAUUGUGGAUUCUCUUGAGAAUAUUACACAUUCGCUUUGUACACUUGAAUUUGAGACACGCCGUGCUUCAUAUUAUUGGCUAUUACAUGCACUGGGCCUUUACCAGCCAUAUGUGUGGGAAUAUUCACGACUUAAUGUUACUAACAUGGUGAUGUCUAAGCGGAAGCUAAAUCGAUUGGUGACAGACAAGUGGGUUGAUGGUUGGGAUGACCCUCGCCUUAUGACUCUAGCUGGUUUGCGUCGUAGAGGCGUGACUUCAACGUCCAUUAAUGCUUUUGUUCGAGGAGUUGGGAUCACUAGAAGUGAUAAUAGUACAAUAAAUUUGGAUCGCCUUGAGUAUCACAUAAGAGAAGAACUAAACAAAACGGUACCUCGUGCAAUGGUCGUGCUAUAUCCGCUGAAGGUUGUUAUCACAAACCUAGAAGCUGGCUCAAUAAUAGAUCUUGAUGCAAAGAAAUGGCCCGAAGCUCAAUCAGAUGAUGCAUCUGCUUUUUACAAGGUUCCAUUUUCCAAUACUGUGUACAUUGAACGUUCUGAUUUUCGAAUGAAAGAUUCCAAGGAUUACUAUGGACUUGCUCCUGGUAAAUCUGUCCUUCUCAGAUAUGCAUUUCCGAUAAAGUGCACUGAAGUUAUCCUAGCUGAUGAUAAGGAAACUAUUCUAGAGAUCCGGGCUGAGUAUGAUCCCUCUAAGAAGACAAAGCCUAAGGUUCAUUGUUGUGCUGGCUUUGCCCUGGUGUUCUUCAUUGGGUGGCUGAACGUUCCCCUGGGGUUGAUCCACUCAGGGUGGAAGUCAGAUUGUUUGACAAAUUGUUCCUUUCGGAGAAUCCAGCUGAACUUGAUGAUUGGCUUGCUGAUCUGAACCCUCAGUCCAAAGUGGUGAUUUCCAGUGCAUAUGCUGUACACUUACUGAAGAAUGCUGUAGUUGGGGACAGAUUCCAGUUCGAAAGGCUUGGUUAUUUUGUGCUUGAUAGAGAUUCCAUUCCUGAAAAGCUCGUCUUCAAUAGAACAGUCACAUUAAGAGAUAGCUAUAGUAAGGGUGGGAAGUAGGUCUGUGCCCUGGGAAACUGCAAGUAAAAUACAAUUUUGCAAGCGGGAGCAGGGAGCUACCAUCUUGCAACUUGCGAGUAUUUUGUGCAGGUCAAGUGAGAGGAAAAAAGGUACUUUGUGUGUAGAAUAAUACUCUACUUAUUUAUUCAUUACAAACUACAAAUACGUUAUACAUCCUGCUUAGUAAGUUGUAUGCAACUUUAAUCUCGUGCAUUGUAUAUGGGGAAAAUCUUUUGAAAUGUAAUGUCGAAGUUCUGUAAUCCUUUAUAUUUAUGCUGGUUCCUUGUAGACCUUUUUGUUUAUGUAUAAAACGGGUCAUGAAGCUUUUCACCUGCCAACAUGAUGCAUGCAUUUUAUGUCAAUAUUUAUAUAUAAUAUUGAUUUUCUUGCUUC